rnacentral:rRNA from 1 species
CGCAUGCAAGUCGAACGGGGAUUCUUGGAGCAAUCUAGGGAUUCUAGUGGCAAACGGGUGAGUAACACGUAGGUAUCUACCCUGAAGUGGGGAAUAACGGAUCGAAAGGUUCGCUAAUACCGCAUAUCAUCGAGAGAUGAAAGUUGUGCCUCUGGCACGACGCUUUGGGAGGAACCUGCGGUCGAUCAGGUAGUUGGUGAGGUAACGGCUCACCAAGCCGAUGACCGAUAGCUGAUCUGAGAGGAUGACCAGCCACACUGGCACUGAGACACGGGCCAGACUCCUACGGGAGGCAGCAGCGAGGAAUAUUGCGCAAUGGAGGCAACUCUGACGCAGUAACGCCGCGUGGGGGACGAAGACCUUCGGGUUGUAAACCUCUUUUAAGAGAGACGAGUGAGGACGGUAUCUCUGGAAUCAGUCUCGGCUAACUACGUGCCAGCAGCCGCGGUAAGACGUAGGAGGCGAGCGUUAUCCGGAUUCACUGGGCGUAAAGCGCAUGUAGGCGGCUGGGAAAGUCAGUUGUUAAAGCCCCUGGCUCAACUGGGGGAGGUCAACUGAGACUAUUCGGCUUGAGGGCAGCAGAGGCGCGUGGAACUCCCGGUGUA